rnacentral:rRNA from 2 species
CACGGAGUUAGCCGGUGCUUCUUCUGCGAGUAACGUCAAUCGCCAAGGUUAUUAACCUUAACGCCUUCCUCCUCGCUGAAAGUACUUUACAACCCGAAGGCCUUCUUCAUACACGCGGCAUGGCUGCAUCAGGCUUGCGCCCAUUGUGCAAUAUUCCCCA